CUUCUGGCUAAAAAGCACGAGAUCUAAAGUGCAACUCACGCGGGCCUCGUGGACAGUAAGGAGGACAGAAAAGACUGCUGGCCUCUGUCCGGCUCUCCUUCUUUCUUUCUCUUUCUUCCUUUCUUCCUUCCUUCCUUCCUCGCUCUCUCUCUCGGCCUGCAGCCCUUCUCUUCCCACCCGCGCGCGCAAUCAAGCUAUCUUGAGCCUAUUAGCCCGCUGAAGUGCCCACGGAUCUCUCUCCCUCUCCCCCGCACCAUCUCUUCCCUUCCACCCCCACCCCUUUAAAAGCACGUUGAGUCGCUUUCAUGAGAUGCCGUGUAAUCUCCUAAUUCUGCCCAGAUCUUGGCUUCUGGGAAGCGCUGCUCCGCAAGCGACGGGGUCCUUGGGAAGGGCUCCUCCGGAAGGUACUAGCCCAGCCCUGCAGGGGUUUUUGUUUUUCUGUCUCUCCGAAGGCAUGGUCGGGGAAGAAUGUGCCAGGGCCAAGUCUGUACUGAUUUUCAUGGUGAAUGGAUGACAUGCUCGCGUUCAUGUUCGACUUCCGAAGGCGCUUAAACGCCUUCCUUUCCUACGUACUAACCUCAGAGAGCCUGGGCUGCUUCAUCCUAGCUCUGCUCUAGGCAUUUCACGGUCUUUUAUGCUCCCUUAACAAGGCUUUUCCUCUCCGUUCCCCGCACACACACACCCUCCCCAUCCCCGGCCUCCUCUCGCUUUGAAACCCCAGUUGCUCGAUUAUUUUUAUUUUUGUCCAUUAUUACAUGCAAUGCCAGGACGUCUUUGGAUUGCAACCCAUCAGGUGAAAGAGCAGCAAGCGACCUAGGGGCAGCUGCCUACCUGAGAAACCCACAGCGAGGUUGGAUGAGCCCUAGGCGCGCGCCCCUCCCCAUCCUGAAAGGUGUUCCUCGGAAGUAAGUGCCGUUCAUUGCAAGGGACUCGUGAGGAGCAUUAGAAUUCCAGCGGGUGAGCCGCAGCAAGAAAGAGUCUUGCGACACCUCUACGGCCAACGCGUUUCCAUGAUGGCACAUGGCGUGGACUGGAAUCAUUUGGUCAGAUGCACCAAGCCAGACAUAUAUCUGCGAGCAAGAAGUAUGCAAAAUUAGCAGGGACAGGAGGCAGACGAGCCAGGAUUUCGGCGGGUCUGAAUUUCAGCGUUAACGUUUAACUGCUUAGUGGCUCUAUACUGUAUAGCACUAACCCCAGUCUGCAGAAAGACCUCUUUUUUAAAGCUUUGACUAUAGUCGGAG